GUGCUCACUUCGGCAGCACAUAAACUAAAAUCAAAAUAAUACAGGGAGGAUCAGCAUGGCCCCUGCCCAAGGAUGACACUCAAAUUCGUGUAACGUUCCGUAUUUAC
rnacentral:snRNA from 1 species